UGGCAUCCCCGGGUUAGGACCACAGAGGUGU
rnacentral:piRNA from 1 species